CUGGGUUCAAGCAAUUCUCCUGCCUCAGCCUCCUGAGUAGCUGGGAUUACAGGUGCCAGGCACCACACCCAGCUAACUGAAUUGAGCAGGUUCCUUAAUGUGGUCUAGGUUGAAGACAGCAUCAAGGAAACAAUGCAGGAAUUAACACUCAUCAAACAGGGACGAAAGGUCUCCAUAUGUUGCCCAGGCUGGUCUUGAACUCUACAGGUGGUACAUUCAAUACCAAGCUGAGAACACCCUCUCAAACUGAGAUGAGAAACAGACUCAAAGAGGUUAGGAAAUUCACCCAUGGUCACAGAGAUAGACAAGGAAAAAGGGAAAUAAGAAGGCCCAAGAAGAGGGAGGGAGAGAGAUGGAAGAACUGCCGGUUGGUGGAGCAGUCAGAACAUACAUAUUUCUCGAUCAAGUUGGCCGUCUUACAUGGUUUGUGGUGCCCCAAAACAAUUACAACAGUAACAUCAAAGAUCACUGAUCACAGAUCACUAUAACACCUAUAAUAAUGAAAGGUCUGAAAUACUGUGAGAAUUAUCAAAAUGUGACAGAGACAGGAAGUGAGCACAUGCUGUUGGAAAAUGGCAUUAACAGGCUUUCUCAACACAGAGUUACCACAAACCUUCAAUUUGUAAAAAAAACCGUAUCAGUGAAAGCACAAUAAAGAGAAGUGCAAUAAAAUGAGGUAUGCCCGUAUACUCAGAAGACUCCUACUAUAUGGCGCUUUUGAAAUAAUCUCCAGGCUUCUAGAACACUGGUGGAUUACUGUAGCUGACGAUGCAGAGGUAUGAGAGGAUAUGGAUACCAGAAGACCUGGUGGUAAAACUUGAGAAGUUUAGAGUUCAUCUUGCAGGAUAUUUCCCCCAAUCCUUCACAGCAUCCUGAAGAGCUUAAAAAGACGUGAAAGAGGAGUGACAAAGCUAGAUCUGUAUUUUUAAAAGAUGAUUUCGGCCACUUGGUGGAGAACAAUUUCAAGUGGGGGCAAAACUGGGACCAAGGAAAUGACAAGCAUCCACACCUAAGUGCAGGGAUAAGGCAGGGGAAGAAGGAAAUGGAGAGGAGGGAACAAAUGUCACAAAUACAUUAGAUAAAACCAGGGCACCGGCCAGGCGUGGUGGCUCACACCUGUAAUCCCAGCACUUUGGGAGGCUGAGCCGGGUGGAUCACAAG
rnacentral:lncRNA from 1 species